AACUGAAGAUUUGGUGAUUGAGUGGCGGACGGGUGAGUAACGCGUGGGUAACCUACCCUGUACGGGGGGAUAACAGUCAGAAAUGACUGCUAAUACCGCAUAAGACCACAGCACCGCAUGGUGCAGGGGUAAAAACUCCGGUGGUACAGGAUGGACCCGCGUCUGAUUAGCUGGUUGGUGAGGUAACGGCUCACCAAGGCGACGAUCAGUAGCCGGCUUGAGAGAGUGAACGGCCACAUUGGGACUGAGACACGGCCCAAACUCCUACGGGAGGCAGCAGUGGGGAAUAUUGCACAAUGGGGGAAACCCUGAUGCAGCGACGCCGCGUGAGUGAAGAAGUAUCUCGGUAUGUAAAGCUCUAUCAGCAGGGAAGAAAAUGACGGUACCUGACUAAGAAGCCCCGGCUAACUACGUGCCAGCAGCCGCGGUAAUACGUAGGGGGCAAGCGUUAUCCGGAAUUACUGGGUGUAAAGGGUGCGUAGGUGGUAUGGCAAGUCAGAAGUGAAAACCCAGGGCUUAACUCUGGGACUGCUUUUGAAACUGUCAGACUGGAGUGCAGGAGAGGUAAGCGGAACUCCUAGUGUAGCGGUGAAAUGCGUAGAUAUUAGGAGGAACAUCAGUGGCGAAGGCGGCUCACUGGACU
rnacentral:rRNA from 1 species